GGUAGUGUUUUUUCGGAUUCGGUUCAUAGUUUGAUUCAUAUUUUGAUCCUUUAUUUUUGUGUGUUGAAAGAAGAGUAAGAGAACCCCUCAAGAAUCACAACAAUUCAAGAAAGAUGUGGAGGAAGGAAGAAGCACAAUGAUUGCACCAUUAAAAAUCAAAAUAGGAAUGAAGCUCAUGGAUAUAUUAAAGAUAAUCAAGCAAGGAGUUUUCACUAGUUCUAGUCAAAUGUCAACUAACUUCUUGGAUUGGAUGUUGGCAGUAUUUUUGAAGUUACUAGUUGAUUUAAUUUGAUUCAAUAAGUUUGUUAUUUAUGUUUGUAGUAGUGAAUAAAUAAGUUUAUAAUUUUAUGUAGAAUGAUAGUAGUCUUUUUAUUAAAUGUAAUUUAUUGUAAAUUAUAUUUUUAUUAUGUUUUAAAAUUAUUUUUUUU